UAGCGUAAUCACUUGUUCUUUAAUUGAGGACUAGUAUGAAUGGCCCCACGAGGACUACACUGUCUCCUUUUUCUAAUCAAUGAAACUGAUCUCCUCGUGAAGAAGCGAGGAUGAUUAUAUAAGACGAGAAGACCCUAUGGAGCUUUAAACAACCGGGGUACUUGCUAAUUUAUUUUAUACCUUCUGAAAACUAAACAAAUUAAAGCAUCUUAUCCCCAAGUUUUAGGUUGGGGUGACCACGGAGAAAAAAUAAACCUCCACGCUGUAAGAAAUCCACCAUCUUCUAAGCUUAGAGCUACAUUUCCAAGCAUCAACAUAUUGACUCCCAUUGACCCAAUAAUUUGAUCAACGAACCAAGUUACCCUAGGGAUAACAGCGCAAUCUACUUUAAGAGCUCAUAUCGACAAGUAGGUUUACGACCUCGAUGUU
rnacentral:rRNA from 1 species